GAUGAAGAACGUAGCGAAAUGCGAUAAGUAAUGUGAAUUGCAGAAUUCAGUGAAUCAUCGAAUCUUUGAACGCACAUUGCGCCCGCCAGUAUUCUGGCGGGCAUGCCUGUCUGAGCGUCAUUUCAACCCUCAUGCCCCUAGGGCGUGGUGUUGGGGAUCGGCCAAAGCCCGCGAGGGACGGCCGGCCCCUAAAUCUAGUGGCGGACCCGUCGUGGCCUCCUCUGCGAAGUAGUGAUAUUCCGCAUCGGAGAGCGAUGAGCCCCUGCCGUUAAACCCCCAACUUUCCAAGGUUGACCUCAGAUCAGGUAGGAAUACCCGCUGAACUUAAGCAUAUCAAUAAGCGAAGGA
rnacentral:misc_RNA from 1 species